CUCAGAACAUAUUAGAGCCUAAUAGAUUCUCUUAUUGCUGUUGUUUCGUCAUGUACAUCUUUUCUUUUCUUUUUCCUACACUGAAAAAUUCCCGUGAUGCUCAACAUUUUUUUUUUCUUUUUGGUUUUAGACUAACAAAAAUAGUGUUUAUUCUGCUCUAUGAGCUGCACUGUCAAUAGUUUAUUUGGAAAAAUAAAAUAAAAAUCAAGAUAUUUGUUUGCAUAAUAUGAGGCAUUGGCUUGAUCAUCAUGGUGCAAACCAACAAUUUAGCAAAAAGCGUUAAUUGUAUUAUUUUCUGUUACAUUCAUAUACAAAAUUGAAUACCAUUCUUAUGCUAAACAAAACUUUGGCUGCUUGAUUUAUUCAUUCAACUGCAACCUCCACUUUGUUGGACAAACGUCAGAUCCUCAUAACCAGAAAGUACAUUGUAUAUAAGUAGUGUGUGGCUUCCCAGAGGAAGUAUGAGAAAUGUAUCAGCAAUUGACCCCAGAUUGCUGAUAUUAAGAAAGGAAGGAAGGCAGCAAAUCACAUAGAAGAUGUUCAUCAAUUGAGGCUGCUAUAUGCAAAUGCUCGAGUAGAUGCUGCAUUGUGUGUUCAGAAAGUAAAAGCAGAGAAAACAUUGUACAGGGUGUGGAGAACAAUUGUAGAUCUACGGGAUUGGGUGAUCAGUAAAAGGAUUGACAUCCAGCAACCGAGGCUCAAGUUGAAGCUCUGCACAGUUUUGAACAAUCAAGUGAUAUGUCUUCAUAAGUGAGGCUUCAAUUGAAACAGAAAACACCAACUCAUUGUCAUGGGCUAUCCAAGAUGUGCAGGCAAGCACUCUCUGUAUUCCCAUUACUGGGGGAGCAAGGGGAGACAUUGAAGUUGUUAAGGCAGCUGCUUGCUCUGCCCUUGAUGUGAUGCAGGCAAUGGAUCCUCCUUAUGCUUCAUACUUUCACAGAUGGAAUUUGGUACUUCAUUCAUUCAAAUGAUAGAAAAGAGACAGCCUUUGGAUUUUGGAAAACCAAAGGAGAAACUAAUGAGAUAUAUUUGAAUUCUGAAUUAAGUGGUUGGAGAACUACUCUUGAAUUUUUUGAAGGUGAAGCCCCUAAUGGACGAAGAACUGGUUGGCUUAUGCAAGAGUACAGUAUAACACAAAAGGGAUUAUGUCAUAAAACCGAGCCAAAGGUAUUAGCUGCAACUAGCUGGCAUUAGUCUAUUCCUUAACAUCUUCUAUACAUCAUCUCCAACGUUACCAUUCAGAAGCCGCUUUGGUUGGAUAAUGUGCAGGACUCUAAAUCAAUUUGCAGAAUUUUCCUUUCCAGUGCGCAUAGCCCCAAAAAUCAGAUUCAGCCCAAUUACAACAAGACUGAUUUUAGUGCAAAAUGCAAUAGUUCAGUGGCAUCAGUUAACCCGAGCAAUAAUAAACCUCAGCACAAGAUUCCUUAAGCAAAUCUGAGGUAAAGGGGUCCAGAACACUUCUCCAGAUGAUUUUGCGGAGGUCGAAUGUUUCUCGAGAGGUGACUUCUUGGAAUUGGAUGAUCUUGCAGAACCCGAGACACUUUCUUCUAGUUCAGAGAAUUCAAGUGGUCCAAGCCGGGCAUUCCGAUGAAUAUUUUGAUUCGUUGGCAUUGUUGCGAGACCUGAAUGAUCAGGAUAACAAACAACUUCAAGGGAAGGAUUUAAGCAAGUAUAGUUUUUCUGCAUCUGUUAGACCCGAUAAGGAUCUAUACAGUGGUACUGGAAGUAAGCAUGCAGUAGAAGGAUUCCUAACCAGGUCAGCACCCGACCCUAAUAAAUGUCAGGAGUCGGAGCACAGAAUUGAAGGCACAGCAAAUUUCUAUGAUGAAGCAAAGCCAUCUGCAACUGGAGAAAGAAAGGCUGCUGUAGGCAGAAUGCAAAGGCACAAGGAGAUUCUCUGUUGUUUCUAAGUCAUCCUCUUCUAUCACUCACGUGUACAGAUGUAACAGAGUAACCGUCAUAUUGUCGGAAGUAGUCAUUUCAGUCUCUCAUUUUAUGAUAAUUUAAUUGAAGGAAUUGCUACUUAUCAUUGGAUAAUAAGUUACCUUAUUUUUUUAUUUUCGAACAAA